AUCCACACGACUCUCGGCAACGGAUAUCUCGGCUCUCGCAUCGAUGAAGAACGUAGCGAAAUGCGAUACCUGGUGUGAAUUGCAGAAUCCCGCGAACCAUCGAGUCUUUGAACGCAAGUUGCGCCCGAGGCCUCUUGGCCAAGGGCACGCCUGCCUGGGCGUC
rnacentral:rRNA from 1 species